rnacentral:rRNA from 1 species
GACGAACGCUGGCGGCGUGCCUAAUACAUGCAAGUAGAACGCUGAAGGAGGAGCUUGCUUCUCUGGAUGAGUUGCGAACGGGUGAGUAACGCGUAGGUAACCUGCCUGGUAGCGGGGGAUAACUAUUGGAAACGAUAGCUAAUACCGCAUAAUAGCAGUUGUUGCAUGACAACUGUUUGAAAGGUGCAAUUGCACCACUACCAGAUGGACCUGCUUUGUAUUAGCUAGUUGGUGGGGUAACGGCUCACCAAGGCGACGAUACAUAGCCGACCUGAGAGGGUGAUCGGCCAAACUGGGAAUGAGACACGGCCCAGACUCCGACGGGAGGCAGCAGGAGGGAAUCUUCGGCAAUGGACGGAAGUGUGACCGAGAAACGCCGCGGGAGUGAAGAAGGUUGUCGGAUCGUAAAGAUCUGUUGUAAGAGAAGAACGAGUGUGAGAGUGGAAAGUUCACACUGUGACGGUAUCUUAACAGAAAGGGACGGCUAACUACGUG